CCACGGGAGGCUGCAGUGGGGAAUAUUGGACAAUGGGCGAAAGCCUGAUCCAGCCAUGCCGCGUGUGUGAAGAAGGCCUUCGGGUUGUAAAGCACUUUCAGUGGGGAAGAAAGCCUUGGGGCUAAUACCCUCGAGGAAGGACAUCACCCACAGAAGAAGCACCGGCUAACUCCGUGCCAGCAGCCGCGGUAAUACGGAGGGUGCGAGCGUUAAUCGGAAUUACUGGGCGUAAAGCGCGCGUAGGCGGUCUGAUAAGCCGGUUGUGAAAGCCCCGGGCUCAACCUGGGAACGGCAUCCGGAACUGUCAGGCUAGAGUGCAGGAGAGGAAGGUAGAAUUCCCGGUGUAGCGGUGAAAUGCGUAGAGAUCGGGAGGAAUACCAGUGGCGAAGGCGGCCUUCUGGACUGACACUGACGCUGAGGUGCGAAAGCGUGGGUAGCAAACAGGAUUAGAUACCCCAGUAGUC
rnacentral:rRNA from 1 species